GAUGAACGCUAGCUACAGGCUUAACACAUGCAAGUCGAGGGGUAACGAGAGGAAAGCUUGCUUUCCUUGUUGACGACCGGCGCACGGGUGAGUAACGCGUAUCCAACCUGCCCCCAACUAGGGAAUAACCUUGCGAAAGUAAGACUAAUACCCUACAAUUUCCUCAGAUGUCAUCUGACGAGGAAUAAAGAUUUAUCGGUUGUGGAUGGGGAUGCGUCUGAUUAGCUUGUUGGCGGGGUAACGGCCCACCAAGGCAACGAUCAGUAGGGGUUCUGAGAGGAAGGUCCCCCACAUUGGAACUGAGACACGGUCCAAACUCCUACGGGAGGCAGCAGUGAGGAAUAUUGGUCAAUGGGCGGAAGCCUGAACCAGCCAAGUAGCGUGCAGGAUGACGGCCCUAUGGGUUGUAAACUGCUUUUAUACAGGAAUAAAGUUAGCCACGUGUGGUUAUUUGUAGGUACUGUAUGAAUAAGGACCGGCUAAUUCCGUGCCAGCAGCCGCAGUAA
rnacentral:rRNA from 1 species